GACGAACGCUGGCGGCGUGCUUAACACAUGCAAGUCGAGCGGUAAGGCCCUUUCGGGGGUACACGAGCGGCGAACGGGUGAGUAACACGUGGGUGACCNGCCCUCAGCUCUGGGAUAAGCCUGGGAAACCGGGUCUAAUACCGGAUAUGACUCCAUGACGCAUGUUGUGGGGUGGAAAGCCUUGUGCGGCUGAGGAUGGGCCCGCGGCCUAUCAGCUUGUUGGUGGGGUGAUGGCCUACCAAGGCGACGACGGGUAGCCGGCCUGAGAGGGCGACCGGCCACACUGGGACUGAGACACGGCCCAGACUCCUACGGGAGGCAGCAGUGGGGAAUCUUGCGCAAUGGGCGAAAGCCUGACGCAGCGACGCCGCGUGAGGGAUGACGGCCU
rnacentral:rRNA from 1 species